AUUUACUCUCUUUGUCUAUAUUUAGUAUAUAAAAUUAAUUUUAUAACGAUAAUGUAAACUUGUGACAAUCUAUAAACUGAAAAUGUUUAAGUUUUUUUUAUUAAGAAGAAAAAAAUAAUGAUUGGUUGCUCGGCAAAAGGGCCGAAUUCACUUUCACAAACUGGUGCGAGUAAAGUGAAGGACUUUUUUUUCGAAACGAAGUCUCGUUGCACCUGAAACAUUAUCAAUUCAAAGGAUAAACUCGAGUAUAUUGGUUUAAUAGAAUUUUUUCCACCAAUAACAAAUGUCUUUGUUCAAAAAUUUGAAACGUUGAUGAAUAACUUGUAAUGGUGUGAUGUGCUGAGUCAUUCGAGAAAUCGGACAAGUAUACACAAUACUAUACACAAAUAUCAAAAGAUAUAAAUGAAGAAAGAAAAAGAAAAAUUGAAGAAAAUCACGUAACGCGUCGUAGUGUUAUUUAACCUCGAUUAAACGUUCUUUUGCAUCGAACCACCGAGUCGAUUCGCACGAUAUCCAUAGUCAUUUCUUUUCCGGCCAGUCGUGGUAUCAGAACUUUCACGCUCGAAAUGUUGGCCAGCCAUUGCGAAAUCAGAUGAUAUUUACACAACCGUGUCGACUUUUCUCACUCGUUCACUUUAAUAAACGCGGGCUAAUUAUCGUAGAAAUUUUAACUAUUAUAACAAUUCUUGCUGGAAGAAUUGCAGUUGGAUUAUAUGUCUGAUGGGUCAUUAGUAUUCUUCAAGGUCGUUGGAUCGUUGGAAUAUAUCUAUGUGCUACGUCUGUGUAAGAUAGAUCUUGAGAGAGGGUGUAUCUUGCUGCUAUGCGCAUCUUAAUUAAAUACAUUUAUCGUUCAAUACAAAUAA